rnacentral:piRNA from 1 species
UUAUUGACAGGUGAUGCUUCCAUACAAUA